CCCAGAGGAGUACAGGUUGCCCCC
rnacentral:miRNA from 1 species